CACAACAGGUGGAGCCUGCGGUUUAAUCGGACUCAACGCCGGGAAACUCACCCGAUAAGACAGCUGAAUGAUAGUCGGGCUGAAGACUCUACUUGACUAGCUGAGAGGAGGUGCAUGGCCGUCGUCAGUUCGUACUGUGAAGCAUCCUGUUAAGUCAGGCAACGAGCGAGACCCACGCCAACAGUUGCCAGCUCGUCCUCCGGGAUGGUGGGGACACUGUUGGGACCGCCUCUGCUAAAGAGGAGGAAGGAAUGGGCAACGGUAGGUCAGCAUGCCCCGAAUUGUCCGGGCUACACGCGGGCUACAAUGGGUGGGACAAUGGGUAUCGACACCGAAAGGUGAAGGCAAUCUCCUAAACCCAUCCUUAGUUCGGAUUGUGGGCUGUAACUCGCCCACAUGAAGCUGGAAUCCGUAGUAAUCGUGUUUCAAAAUAGCACGGUGAAUAUGUCCCUGCUCC
rnacentral:rRNA from 1 species